rnacentral:rRNA from 1 species
UACGUAGGCAGCGAGCGUUGUUCGGAAUUACUGGGCGUAAAGGGCUCGUAGGCGGCCAACUAAGUCAGACGUGAAAUCCCCCGGCUUAACCAGGGAACUGCGUCUGAUACUGGAUGGCUUGAGUUUGGGAGAGGGAUGCGGAAUUCCAGGUGUAGCGGUGAAAUGCGUAGAUAUCUGGAGGAACACCGGUUGCGAAGGCGACAUCCUGGACCAACACUGACGCUGAGGCGCGAAAGCGUGGGGAGCGAACAGG